rnacentral:rRNA from 1 species
ACUCCUACGGGAGGCAGCAGUGGGGAAUAUUGCACAAUGGGCGCAAGCCUGAUGCAGCAACGCCGUGUGAGUGAAGAAGGUUUUCGGAUCGUAAAACUCUGUCCUAAGGGAAGAAAAAAUGACGGUACCUUAGGAGGAAGCCCCGGCUAACUACGUGCCAGCAGCCGCGGUAAUACGUAGGGGGCAAGCGUUAUCCGGAAUCACUGGGGCGUAAAGGGUGCGUAGGCGGCUUAGCAAGCCAGGGGUGAAAGGCAUUGGCUCAACCAAUGUAAGCCUUUGGAACUGUUAAGCUUGAGUGCAGGAGAGGUAAGUGGAAUUCCUAGUGUAGAGGUGAAAUUCGUAGAUAUUAGGAGGAACACCAGUGGCGAAGGCGACUUACUGGACUGUAACUGACGCUGAUGCACGAAAGCGUGGGUAGCGAACAGGAUUAGAUACCCUGGUAGGUCAGUCAAGUCGUGGGAGAAC